GAACGAACGCUGGCGGCGUGCCUAACACAUGCAAGUCAAACGGUUUUGUAGCAAUACAGAGCAGUGGCGCACGGGUGAGUAAUGCAUGGGAAUUUCCCAAGUGGAGAGGGAUACCUACGGGAAACUGUAGUUAAUACUUCGUAAGCAGAGUGUGUUAAAGCAUUCUGGAAAGGUAGGGAUCGUAAGACCUACCGCCAUUUGAUAAGCUCAUGUCCCAUUAGCUAGUUGGUGAGGUAACGGCCCACCAAGGCGAUGAUGGGUAGCUGGUCUGAGAGGACGAUCAGCCACACUGGAACUGAGACACGGUCCAGACUCCUACGGGAGGCAGCAGUGGGGAAUAUUGCGCAAUGGGGGAAACCCUGACGCAGCAACGCCGCGUGAGUGAAGAAGGCCUUCGGGUUGUAAAGCUCUUUCGGCUGGGAAGAAGGGUGUAAAGGUGAAUAAUCUUUGCAUUUGAUGGUACCAGAAGAAGAAGCACCGGCAAACUUCGUGCCAGCAGCCGCGGUAAUACGAAGGGUGCGAGCGUUGUUCGGAAUUAUUGGGCGUAAAGGGUUCGUAGGCGGGAUUGUAAGUCAAGUGUGAAAUCCCCGAGCUUAACUCGGGACGUGCAUUUGAAACUGCGAUUCUUGAGUCAUUGAGAGGGUGGUGGAAUUGUUGGUGUAGGAGUGACAUCCGUAGAGAUCAACAGGAACAUCAGAGGCGUAAGCGGCCACCUGGCAAUGUACUGACGCUGAGGAACGAAAGCGUGGGGAGCAAACAGGAUUAGAUACCCUGGUAGUCCACGCCAUAAACGAUGAUAACUAGGUGUUGGGGGAGUUGACCCCCUCAGUACCGUAGCUCACGCGUUAAGUUAUCCGCCUGGGGAGUACGACCGCAAGGUUAA
rnacentral:rRNA from 1 species